ensembl:scaRNA
AGGCUCACCAGGGCCAGGUCUUCUCCUUGUGGUGCUGACCUGUCUCUCCAUGAGCAAGAGUAUCAGGACUGGUUUGGGGGUAUCCCACCUGAGUGGAUGUGGUGACACCACAGUUUUCAGAACAACA